GCACAGCAUAUAGGAUCUAUGGCGGAACUGAGGGACAAAAUAUGGGAUCUAUGGGGGGACUGAGGCACAGCAUAUAGGAUCUAUGGGGGAACUGAGCCACAGUGUAUGGGAUCAGUGGGGAAACUGAGGCACGGCAUAUGGGAUCAAUGGGGAAAGCGAAGUGCAACAUAUGGGAUCUAUGGGGAAACUGAGGCACAGAAUAUGGGAUCUAUGGGGGAACUGAGGGACAGCAUAUGGGAUCUAUGGGGGAAGUGAGGGACAGCAUAUGGGGUCAAUGGGGAAACAGGCACAGAAUAUGGGAUUUAUGGGGAGCUGAGGCACAGCAUAUGGGGUCCAUGGGGCACAGUGUAUGGGAUCUAUGAGGAAACUGAGCCAGUGUAUAGGAUCAGUGGAGAAAUUGAGGCACGGCAUAUGGGAUCUAUGGGGGAACUGAGGGACUGCAUAUGGGAUCAAUGGGGAAACUGAGGGACGGCAUGUGGGAUCUAUGGGGAACUGAGGCACAACAUAUGGGAUCUGUGGGGGAAACUGAGGCACAGAAUAUGGGGUCAGUGGGGAAACAGGCACAGAAUAUGGGAUCUAUGGGGGAACUGAGGCACAGAAUAUGGGAUCUGUGGGGAACUGAGCCACAGCAUAUGGGAUCUAUGGGGGAACUGAGGGACAGAAUAUGAGAUCUAUGGGGGAAACUGAGGCACAGCAUGUGGGAUCUAUGGGGAAACAGGCACAGAAUAUGGGAUUUAUGGGGAGCUGAGCCACUGUGUAUAGGAUCAGUGAGGAAACUGAGGCACAGCAUAUGGGAUCUAUGGGGAAACUGAGGGACAGCAUAUGGGAUCUAUGGGGGAACUGAGGGACAGAAUAUGGGAUCUGUAGGGAAACUGAGGGACGGCAUGUGGGAUCUAUGGGGGAACUGAGGCACAGCAUAUGGGAUCUGUGGGGGAAACUGAGGCACAGAAUAUGGGGUCAGUGGGGAAACAGGCACAGAAUAUGGGAUCUAUGGGGGAACUGAGGCACAGAAUAUGGGAUCUGUGGGGAACUGAGCCACAGCAUAUGGGAUCUAUGGGGGAACUGAGGGACAGAAUAUGAGAUCUAUGGGGGAAACUGAGGCACAGCGUAUGGGAUCAGUGGGGGAACUGAGGCACAGCAUAUGGGAUCUAU
ensembl:lncRNA